GAGGGGGUUGUUAUUAGCUUGAGAGGUGAGCAAUGAUUGGAGGAGGAGGAAGGUCCAGCCUGGUAGUAUUGGAGGGAGCAGACGGACGCCCAUUCCUUACUCCACAUAUCCCCAAAAAGCUACUGACCCUUGGACAUCACUGGAUCUAACUUGUUCUCUCAUUUCAACAGUCACAAGGUGUUCAGUAACACAGUCUUCAGUCUUAACAAUGGGAGGAGCUCGAGAUCCAGAUGCUGACUUUCAGUAUGAUUAUGAGCUGAUAAGAAGAGGAGGGUUGAUAUUUGCAGCUGUACUUUUUGUUCUAGGCAUUGCCAUCAUUUUCAGU